rnacentral:rRNA from 1 species
UACGUAGGGUGCAAGCGUUAAUCGGAAUUACUGGGCGUAAAGCGUGCGCAGGCGGUUGUGCAAGACAGAUGUGAAAGCCCCGGGCUCAACCUGGGAAUGGCAUUUGUGACUGCACGGCUAGAGUGUGUCAGAGGGGGGUAGAAUUCCACGUGUAGCAGUGAAAUGCGUAGAUAUGUGGAGGAAUACCGAUGGCGAAGGCAGCCCCCUGGGAUAACACUGACGCUCAUGCACGAAAGCGUGGGGAGCAAACAGG